rnacentral:rRNA from 1 species
GGUGAGUAACGCGUUGGUGACCUACCCCAAAGUGUGGGAUAACAGUUCGAAAGAACUGCUAAUACCGCAUGUGGUUAUUGGAUUUAGAAACUAAUAACUAAAGGAGCGAUUCGCUUUGGGAGGGACCUGCGUCCCAUCAGCUAGUUGGUGAGGUAAUGGCUCACCAAGGCUACGACGGGUAGGGGACCUGAGAGGGUGACCCCCCACAAUGGAACUGAAACACGGUCCAUACACCUACGGGUGGCAGCAGUAGGGAAUAUUGCACAAUGGGCGAAAGCCUGAUGCAGCAACGCCGCGUGUGCGAUGAAGGUCUUCGGAUCGUAAAGCACUUUUCUGAGAGAUGAGAAAGGACAGUAUCUCAGGAAUAAGUCUCGGCUAACUACGUGCCAGCAGCCGCGGUAACACGUAGGAGGCGAGCGUUAUCCGGAUUCACUGGGCGUAAAGCGCGUGCAGGCGGUUUGAUAAGUUGGGCGUGAAAGCUCCAGGCUCAACUGGGAGAGGUCGUUCAAUACUACCAGACUAGAGAGCAGAAGAGGAAGAUGGAAUUCCCGGUGUGGUGGUGAAAUGCGUAGAUAUCGGGAGGAACACCAGUGGCGAAGGCGAUCUUCUGGUCUGAUUCUGACGCUCAGACGCGACAGCUAGGGUAGUAAACGGGAUUAGAGACCCCGGGUAAUCCUAGCACGUAAACGAUGUGAUCUUGGUCGUUAGUUGUCUUAAAACACACAUACCGUGCUCGCAAGCAUACGCAGAUUACGUUCAACGCCUUGAGCACUAACGUCCGCAAGGGUG